CAGGGUGAGAUGUGUUGAAAGUUCAGUGUGUUUGUUCAGGAAGGAAAUGUGCUGAAUAAUUAUAUUAAAAGAUGGAUUUAGGCAUUUUUUUCUUCCUCUUUCACACCCUGCAGGAAUGCUAUUGAUUCCUCUUUAUUCAAGCAAUGGUUGCAUAACUUGCAAAGUGGGAUUGGGAUUCUAGCUGAUGGCACCUUGGCUCUGAGAUAAGUUCUAAUUCAAGUUCCAGGUAUUGUAUUUGCAAGAGGACCUGUUGUGACUGUGUUGAUACUUCUGGAAUCAGAUGGUGAAACUUAUGCUGUCCUUACUGAACAGGCAAGGGUUCCUACUGGAAGAAUUAUUUUGGAAUUGCCUGCUGGAAUGUUGGAUGAUGACAAGGGUGAUUUCGUUGGCACUGCAGUUCGUUGAAGAGGAGACUGGCAUAAAGUUCAAACUUGAAGACAUGGUUGAUCUCACUGCUUUCUUGGAUUCUUCAACAAGAUGCAAAUUUUUUCCCUCAC